CACCCUUUGUGAUAAUGAAGGUAUACAGAAGCAUGAUCUCAAUUUCAAGGAAAACGGAAGAGGUAGUGGAAGUUGUUAUGCAACCUGGUCGAGAGAGUUAACUCUCAACAGUGGCGUUCCGUCAGGGCCAGCAAGGCCUUCUCUGCUGGCCUAAACAUUCUCAGAAAAGUAAAUUGAAUAAAUGUACUUUUCUGAGAAUAACAUCAAUGUAAUUUAUGUUAUUUUAUUUUCAUAAAUAUGUAAACAAAAUUAUCUGUAUUCUUUACGUCAUAUUAUUUCCACUUAGUCGAGUGGUUUAUUUUAAAUAACAUUGAAAGCCACUCAAUAAAUAACUUAUUUAACUAUGGUAGAGUUUUUAACCAAUCAUAUUUCAGACAGCUUGUGUUGCCAGGUCAAUUAAAAUUGCUCGGGGCUUACAGAUUAAACAGAGCAGGCCCCUGUGCGCUGUAAAUGAACGAGCACAGUCAACUUGCAAUAGCCAAUCAGAUCACGACACCGGGGUUACGUCGGCACUGGACGUGCGCGUUCGGUGAUUGGAUUAGCGCCUGCUAGAGGGUGCUGUUGCUGCAUUUUGACCCAAAAUGGCCGAAGGAGAAGACGUUGAUCUGGUUGCAGGACUACUUUGCACACAAUUUUCAAGACGUACCUUCCACUGGAUUUACCUAUUUAAGUUGUUUUACCAAGGCAGCAAGGAAACAUCAAAGCACGGCUGGGCACUUACAAGCUACGGUGCGUUUAAAAACAUUUGGGGACACUCGCGUAGAUCUGCAGCUCAGUGAACAGGCACUACAUUGGUGAGUAAAUGAAUUUUAUUUUACAUUUCUUCUUGUUAUUUUAUUUCGUUAGUAUUAAUGGUCAACAAAUAAAAUGACAAAGAUACAAAAAUGUAUCAAAUAAAUCAGCUCACCUGCAAUUUAUAAUGGCGCAUUGUAGUCAGCUGUGUGCACUAAAAUUCGUUCAAUCUCAGCUGCUCAACAUUUUCAAUUAGUUGCUGUUGUAUAGCCUAUUCUCAAAAUGCAAAUGAUCUGUUAAUUUCAUUUUCAAAGAAUAGUUUGUUUUGUUAUCGUGUGGUUGGUGUCUUAUAUGAAACUGCGACAUUGCGCAAUUUAUUGGACAGACUUGUUUAUGAUCACACAGCGUAAUUUGGGUGGCAUUUUAUUUAGUAUUUUUUAAAUCUUUUUAUUUUUGACAAUAUCUGUAAAUUUAGUUUCCUGCUCUUAAUUGUGAAUGCAUACUUGAUGGUUUUAAAUGCUCCUGAAAUUAAGAGCUGCCUGACAAGCCUA